GGAGGGGUGGGUGAGCGGCUAAUACCAACAGACUGUAAAUCUGUCGCCCUGAGGGCUUCGCAGGUUCGAAUCCUGCCCCCUCCA
rnacentral:tRNA from 1 species